rnacentral:miRNA from 1 species
ACCAACCAAUCACAACGCUGAA